rnacentral:tRNA from 1 species
UAGCUCUGUGGUAGAGCAAUCGAAUUGUAAUCGAUAGGUCGGGUUCAACUCCCGUUAACCA